rnacentral:rRNA from 1 species
GGACUACUGGGGUUUCUAAUCCCGUUCGCUCCCCUGGCUUUCGCACCUCAGCGUCAGGUAUACUCGCCAGGACACUGCCUUCGCCUUCGGUGUUCCUCCGGAUCUCUACGCAUUUCACCACUCCACCCGGAAUUCCGUGUCCCUCUCGAGCCCUCAAGUCCGACCGUCUUUCGUAUGCUCGGAUAGUGAAGCCAUCCGCUGUCACACAAAACGCGCCAGACCGCCUGCAUGCCCUUUACGCCCAGUAACUCCGGACAACGCUCGCCCCCUACGUAUUACCGCGGCGGCUGGCAC